UGCAUAAGCAUUUUGGGGGUCAUUUGAUAGCUAUUGUCCUGAACUAUAACACUUUAAAAGGAUCGUGACAUAUUACCCUGUAACCCUGUAUGUCGGAGAUGAGAAACGAUUUAUAAAUGGCGCCGAUCUCACGCUAUUUCACUCGAACACUAUUCGCGUCUCUGUUGCACCUAUUACGGUUAGAAAAACAACCCAAAUAUUUUAAUGAAGUUGGAUAGCUUACUUUUUGUAUUUCAAGUGCGAUAAUUAGUAUCGUCAUUGUUUAUAAUGAUUUAUAGGAUUUGAUAAUGAGAAUAAUUUUUAACAAAAGCUUAUCUAAUAAUCGCCUAGGAGAAAUCAAACACCACUUAAAACAAAGACCUGUGAUAAUGAGACUUUUUUUUGAAUGAGUGUAUGCUGUUGGCCCUCCUGGCCUUUACAGCGUCAUUGGGCGUUGGGGCGAAUACUAGACUCCUGAAAUUUGAACCGUCUCGGGCUACGAGAUCGCACUUCGGCUCAGGACGUAAUCGGUGGGAUGGUGGGAAACGAAGCACUGUACUUAAAGUCACGAGCGGUGUCGUGACGUCACUACACGUUUCCGCCGGCGAAAACAGGGUAAAUAUGUGGUGUGUUCUAAUUAGCUAAUUCCAUUAAAAUAUAUAAUGAUUAUGAUAUUUAUAUACUUGAAUAUAUGAUUGGAUAUUCUGUAGCAGA